GUUGUUGGGGAAAAUAGCAACCUAGCCUAGGUGCAGUCCCAAAUAGAAUCUCAUAUGGGGACAGUGAGGUAGUAUUUUUGUACAAGAGCAUUCAUUAGAUCUUUUGAUAAAUGUGCAGGUCUGUGUGCCCAUUGUACGACUGCUGGGUACAAAUUCUUAGGGAGGCAGAAAUUGAGGUUGUUGGAGUACACUCCAUCCUUCAGAACUGCCCCUUUCUGUUUCCACUUCUGUAUUUCUU